UGUGUGUCUAUCUGCUAGGGUCUUGGAGAA
rnacentral:piRNA from 1 species